rnacentral:rRNA from 1 species
AGUCGAACGUGAAGCCCAGCUUGCUGGGUGGAUCAGUGGCGAACGGGUGAGUAACACGUGAGCAUCUGCCCCUGACUCUGGGAUAGCGCUGGAACGGCGUCUAAUACUGGAUACGAACCGUGGAGGCAUCUUCAACGGUGGAAAGAUUUUUUGGUCAGGGAUGAGCUCGCGGCCUAUCAGCUUGUUGGUGAGGUAAUGGCUCACCAGGGCGUCGACGGGUAGCCGGCUGAGAGGGUGACCGGCCACACUGGGACUGAGACACGGCCCAGACUCCUACGGGAGGCAGCAGUGGGGAAUAUUGCACAAUGGGCGAAAGCCUGAUGCAGCAACGCCGCGUGAGGGAUGACGGCCUUCGGGUUGUAAACCUCUUUUAGCAGGGAAGAAGCGAAAGUGACGGUACCUGCAGAAAAAGCGCCGGCUAACUACGUGCCAGCAGCCGCGGUAAUACGUAGGGCGCAAGCGUUAUCCGGAAUUAUUGGGCGUAAAGAGCUCGUAGGCGGUUUGUCGCGUCUGCUGUGAAAUCCCGAGGCUCAACUUCGGGUCUGCAGUGGGUACGGGCAGACUAGAGUGCGGUAGGGGAGAUUGGAAUUCCUGGUGUAGCGGUGGAAUGCGCAGAUAUCAGGAGGAACACCGAUGGCGAAGGCAGAUCUCUGGGCCGUAACUGACGCUGAGGAGCGAAAGGGUGGGGAGCAAACAGGCUUAGAUACCCUGGUAGUCCACCCCGUAAACGUUGGGAACUAGUUGUGGGGUCCAUUCCACGGAUUCCGUGACGCAGCUAACGCAUUAAGUUCCCCGCCUGGGGAGUACGGCCGCAAGGCUAAAACUCAAAGGAAUUGACGGGGACCCGCACAAGCGGCGGAGCAUGCGGAUUAAUUCGAUGCAACGCGAAGAACCUUACCAAGGCUUGACAUAUACGAGAACGCUGCAGAAAUGUAGAACUCUUUGGACACUCG